GGGUGCAAUCAUACCAACACUAAUGCACCGGAUCCCAUCAGAACUCUACAGUUAAGCAUGCAUGGGUGACCUCAUGGGAAGUCCUCAUUUUAAAUCAC
rnacentral:rRNA from 1 species